CGUUAAGUUUCCACUGAGUCAGCUUCUCGUCUCGGACGAUUCGGACAACUCAGUUCGCACUCUCGAGCUCAUUCGUCCCUCUGGCCGUCCACAGGGUAAGGUCCGCUUGAAACUGGCCGUAAAAGAACAUUCUUUGCCUCCGCUGAUGCAAGAUUACCAUACUCUCCCUAUGUACGGUCAUUAUUACAAUCCCGCUCCUCCACCUCCGUCGGGCCACUACAGUGGUUUCCCUCCCUCUCCGUACCCUUAUUCUGAUCACUAUGGCUACUACUCGUCCUAUUAUCCUCCGCAACCGCAUCUACCC
rnacentral:misc_RNA from 1 species